AGCCUUGUAGUGAAUGAUCAUGUUGAAUUCGAAAUUCAAAGGAGCAGCUUCAAUCCUGCCGGGGCUU